GUGAGGAAUUUUCCGCAAUGGGCGAAAGCCUGACGGAGCAAUGCCGCGUGAAGGAUGAAGGCCUAUGGGUUGUAAACUUCUUUUCUUAGAGAAGAAUAUUGACGGUAUCUGAGGAAUAAGCAUCGGCUAACUCUGUGCCAGCAGCCGCGGUAAGACGAGGGAUCCUAGCGUUGCUCGGAAUCAUUGGGCGUAAAGAGGGCGUAGGUGGCUUGGUAAGUCAGGUGUGAAAGCCCAGGGCUCAACCCUGGAAGUGCAUUUGAUACUGCUGAGCUUGAGUGUCGGAGAGGUUACCGGAAUACCUGGUGUAGUGGUGAAAUACGUAGAUAUCAGGUGGAACACCGGAGGCGAAGGCGGGUAACUGGACGAACACUGACACUGAGGCCCGAAAGCGUGGGGAUCAAACAGGAUUAGAAACCCCGGUAGUCC
rnacentral:rRNA from 1 species